GGAAUUUUCCGCAAUGGGCGAAAGCCUGACGGAGCAAUACCGCGUGAGGGAUGAAGGCCUCUGGGCUGUAAACCUCUUUUAUCAAGGAAGAAGAUCUGACGGUACUUGAUGAAUAAGCCACGGCUAAUUCCGUGCCAGCAGCCGCGGUAAUACGGGAGUGGCAAGCGUUAUCCGGAAUUAUUGGGCGUAAAGCGUCCGCAGGCGGCCCUUCAAGUCUGCUGUUAAAAAGUGGAGCUUAACUCCAUCAUGGCAGUGGAAACUGUUGGGCUUGAGUGUGGUAGGGGCAGAGGGAAUUUCUAGUGUAGCGGUGAAAUGCGUAGAUAUUAGAAAGAACACCGGUGGCGAAAGCGCUCUACUGGACCAUUACUGACACUCAGAGGCGAAAGCUAGGGUAGCAAAAGGGAUUAGAUACCCCUGUAGUC
rnacentral:rRNA from 1 species